GUGGGGGAUAUUGCACAAUGGAGGAAACUCUGAUGCAGCGACGCCGCGUGAGGGAAGACGGUCUUCGGAUUGUAAACCUCUGUCUUUGGGGACGAUAAUGACGGUACCCAAGGAGGAAGCUCCGGCUAACUACGUGCCAGCAGCCGCGGUAAUACGUAGGGAGCGAGCGUUGUCCGGAAUUACUGGGUGUAAAGGGAGCGUAGGCGGGGUCUCAAGUCGAAUGUUAAAUCUACCGGCUCAACUGGUAGCUGCGUUCGAAACUGGGGCUCUUGAGUGAAGUAGAGGCAGGCGGAAUUCCUAGUGUAGCGGUGAAAUGCGUAGAUAUUAGGAGGAACACCAGUGGCGAAGGCGGCCUGCUGGGCUUUUACUGACGCUGAGGCUCGAAAGCGUGGGGAGCAAACAGGAUUAGAAACCCGAGUAGUCC
rnacentral:rRNA from 1 species